rnacentral:lncRNA from 1 species
CGCAAGGAAUUUUUUACAUUUUUGGAAUUAAUAAGUAUGUCAUUUUCACUUGAGCCAUUUAUUUCUCUCCGAUUUCCGAUGAUUUAAUCGUUAAUGAAGGCACAAGAUUAAUAUCAUUAAGGUUACUGUAAACAACGGGGUCCACGGUUUCCGCGAAGCCAAUGGAAUGGGACUAGGCAUUCUUAAUGCAUUUAGCGUGGAAUGUGACUCCUACGUUCACUAGAUCGACCGACACUACGCUACAACUCGCCUGCGAAGGCUCGUUUCAACGGACGUUAACUGGCUACAAUGUGACCCGCUACAAUGUAGCCUUUAAGAGUACAAAACUGAGCCUCGUAACUGGCGAUACGAUCGUUAUUUAAUAAUUUACAGCUGGGUGGUCUACUUAUAUGUAAGUCGUGCAAGUCAAGAUGAAAAUCGAUUACAGGUUUUACAAGGGCUCCAUGUUUGGUGAAAAGGGUAGUAGGUUAAUUGGGGUGAGAAGGAUCACAAACUGGUUAUGGAAAAAGAAAUUGUGAUCUGAUUGCGAUAUGCUAAUUGACAAAUGACUCUGAUGGAAGUGAUCACAAUAUAAUUCUGAAAGGCUGAAGAAUAAUCGGACUUUAAGCAAAGUAAUCACAGAUAUAUCGUGACAUACUAAUAUGUUUGCAAUGUAAUUUUAAUGGAACAGUUAACAUAACACACUCGAGCACAGUAUAAUGGAAUUUUGUCAUAAAAACACACUGAACUGAAAGGAGACUCGUACUAUACACAAAAUUCUGUUGAAAACCCUUAAGCUCAAGUAAAGACAGAUUCUACGAAAAAUAGGAAAAUGGUCCAGGAAACCUAAUCGUGACGACUCGAGUCCGGAUUACUCGGAAUGUUCAACAGUAUAGGUUUAACGGUAAAAGCGGAUAAGCGGCUCAUCCGUUGGGUUGUACGAUUCCUUAAAUGAUGACGAAACGUCGGGAAUCUUUCUUGGUGCACCGCGUGUGCACGGUCACGAUCAGGAAUGUCCUUUUGCGAGCUGACGUUCGCGUGCCUUCGAUCCACAUUCCGCAGUCCUGCCAAGAAUGCGCGUCACCAGUUGUAAACGAUGCCGUAGGAAAACCGCUAUGCGGCCCGACUUAAACAGACUUGCAAACAAGAAGAGAAGAAAUAGGAAGGAAAGGUCUAGUGGAUGAAAAUUGCUAGUGAAUUUAAAACAUGCUGCCCUCUUUAGUCCCUCUUCUUCGACGGCGGUGAUUGAGUAUGAUCGUUUUCACUUAGAUGGCGCUAAUUCAGCACAAUCAUUUCUCUUGGAAUGGAGCCGUGAGGUUACAACGGAUAAUCCUAAGGCAAUUGUCGAUGAGAUCUUUGAUUCAAAGUAUGACUAAUUAAACAAGUAAAAAGAGAAGGCUGGAAUACAGAAUAUCUUGAAAGAAACAAAAGAAGGUGUACGAUGAAAAAAGGUUCCUAAAAGCCGCGCAGAGCACAAGGUUGAUCGAAGAGCCUUCAACAAUACCCAGAGGAUACAUCACGAUGAAAUGAAUAAAUCAACUUUCGUAAUGAUGAACCUACCGAGGAACGCUAUCCCAGUCCCUAACCAGCAAUUCCGCAACAUUUCGUUCCUGACCAAUGGCAAUGCAACAAAUUGAAGAUGAUACUGCUAUAGCGGACUUAAAAUGAAGAUGAUUUUCUUCUUGAAAACUUCAAAGUCUAUCCAGCUUAGCCACGGGUUUAAAAAAUUGGCUUUCGAUAUUACUCAUCGCCGUGCAUUUUACAAGUUAGUAUUUGCCACGGUACGAAACCGUUGAAAAAUUGUAAACUGCCUGAGUGUUUUAGAGGUUAUGUCCAAGAAGCGUAAUUUCAUUGCAACGGGAUAUGAAACAGUAUCGAACAACGCAUCGAACAGCUGGCCAACGAUAACCGAACGAGAAAUUUAGCGACGAGGUAGAUAUUUGUUAGGAGGUUGGGGCCGCGUCCUUUCGGUUUUACGAUCGUUUCGCGAUGUUGAUGGCCCACUGGCCAUUUCGUGAGUAGCUGUCUCGUGAUUUCUACGAGGGAACUACUCUGGCAGAAUCGUAAAUAUAGGGAAACUGCCAUAGCAAGGGCGAAACGGAAAAGAGUGUACAGGGCGUUUUAGAAUCAUGACCACUUAUUUAUCUACCUACAUUAACGUUCCUUUGUCUUCUAGUCAUGUAUUCGCUAUUGUUUGUACUUCUUUGUACUUUUAAAACAUCUUAGCAUCUCCCCAUGUUUGAAACACCCUGUACAACGAAUGAUAGAUAUACGAUCACGAUCACGAUGCAACGCCGAUAAUUUCUUGUAAAUCGAGUAUCUAAUUUUUACACAGCAUGUAUGAUAUUCUUAUAUAUAACUUUUGAAACGCCCUGUAGAAUUUAACCCCUGUGCACCGCCAAUGCGAUUCAACGUUUGAUUCUUGGAACGUACCAUGUAUGUUAUAUUUCUAAGCAGAUUGCAAGCGAUAUGGAUAAUACUUCUGAAUCACCCUGUACAUUUUCGUGCAAUCCCGUGUGACCAGAAUUUUGUAGCAUCUUGUACUGCUUUCUCUGGCGGGUGCUAAAAAGAGAAACCUGGGAAAUGCAUACGAGGUCACCGGCAUAAAAUCGUGGUUAACUUAAAAACCGAAUAUUUAUGAACCCCGUCGGCCAUUAAUACCGAUUGUUUAUAGGGCAAUGCGUACACGCGAAGGAACCGUGGACGUAACCUCGAAUUAUCGAAUUAUUAUUCAAUCUAACGCCAAUCUUAAUUUUUAAUCACCGCCUCGAGGAUAUUUUACUCGCCUGCGUUACGAAUGUAUUCGACACGGGAAUUUUUGUCAAGAAAUAAAUCGUACCGUACUCGAGGAGCGCAUUGUACACCGGAUACAUCACGGUAUGCCGGAAGAGGACGAGUUCCAACGAUAAUUGUUUUCACCGUAAAAUCGAACAUGACUCACGAUCAAGUCACGCAUCCUACGUGAAUCCUGCAAUUCAUUAUACAAUUACCAGUGACAUCAUCAAUUUCGUUUCCAAAAAGCACAGAGGCUUCUUUCAAGCGCUCAAUCAAGACUUUCGACGAACUCGAAUCAUCGUCGAAAAUAAAGCAGCGUGCUCAGACUCGUGCCUCGAUUCAUUCACAAGUAACUGCACAAAAUUUCUCGCAAAUUAUUAUUCCGAUCUUUGUACCGUGUCCCCAUUCCAAUUACUCCAGCGACAUUAACUCGCCUACUGAUAACACCCGAUCGUUCCAAUUAAUUGUUUAUCGGAUUCGUGUCUUAUCGCGGUCUCGAAACGAAGGUUAUCGUACGGUUAUUCGGAUUAUUUUCCUCUCGCCAUUUUUAAAUAUGUAACCCGCGACGCGCUCGCUCCGA